UGAACGCUGGCGGCAGGCUUAACACAUGCAAGUCGAGCGGGGUGAUGUAGCUUGCUACAUUACCUAGCGGCGGACGGGUGAGUAAUGCUUAGGAAUCUGCCUAUUAGUGGGGGACAACAUUCCGAAAGGAAUGCUAAUACCGCAUACGCCCUACGGGGGAAAGCAGGGGAUCUUCGGACCUUGCGCUAAUAGAUGAGCCUAAGUCAGAUUAGCUAGUUGGUGGGGUAAAGGCCUACCAAGGCGACGAUCUGUAGCGGGUCUGAGAGGAUGAUCCGCCACGCUGGGACUGAGACACGGCCCAGACUCCUACGGGAGGCAGCAGUGGGGAAUAUUGGACAAUGGGCGAAAGCCUGAUCCAGCCAUGCCGCGUGUGUGAAGAAGGCCUUCUGGUUGUAAAGCACUUUAAGCGAGGAGGAGGCUACUUGGAUUAAUACUCUAGGAUAGUGGACGUUACUCGCAGAAUAAGCACCGGCUAACUCUGUGCCAGCAGCCGCGGUAAU
rnacentral:rRNA from 1 species